rnacentral:rRNA from 1 species
GACAGAGGGUGCAAACGUUGUUCGGAAUUACUGGGCGUAAAGCGCGUGUAGGCGGCCCUGCAAGUCGGGUGUGAAAUCCCACGGCUCAACCGUGGAAGUGCACUCGAAACUGCAGGGCUAGAGUCCUGGAGAGGAAGGUGGAAUGCUUGGUGUAGAGGUGAAAUUCGUAGAUAUCAAGCGGAACACCGGUGGCGAAGGCGGCGUUCUGGACUGCAACUGACACUGAGGAACGAAAGCCAGGGGAGCAAACGGG